GCUCCGUUGGUGAACCAGCGGAGGGAUCAUUACCGAAGUUACCUUCAAAACCCACUGUGAACAUUACCUCUUGCCGCGUUGUCUCGGCGGGAGGCGGUGUGCGUCGCGCGCCCUAGCGGGCCGCGCCGCUCCCGUCCCCGCCGGCAGCGCCAAACUCUAAAUGCACAGCGGACUGUACGUUCUGAUUUACAAAAAAAACAAGUUAAAACUUUCAACAACGGAUCUCUUGGUUCUG
rnacentral:misc_RNA from 1 species